rnacentral:antisense_RNA from 1 species
CGGGGAUGGACCUCCAGAUUUCCUUACUGAGACAGAGUCUUCUUGCUAUGUUGCCCAGGCUGGUCUUGAACUCCUAACCUCAAGCGAUCCUCCCAUCUUGGCCUCCCAGGUGUCAGGAUUACAGGCAUGUGCUAUCACACCCAACCUGAUACAUUGCCUUUAUAAAUUUUUUUUUCUUUAUUCUAAAAAACAGAAAAAACAAAACUGGAUACAUGUGCAGAACAUGCAGGUGAGACGUGGUCUUGUAACACAGUGGUUAAGAAUGUGACUUUGGAGCCAGCCUGCUAGGGGCUGAAUUCUGACUCAGCCAUUUAUUAACUGUGUGACCUUAGGUCAUAGAAUUUUCCACACUCCUUGACGGAGGUUCUUAACCCUUAUCCAUCAGCAUUCUCAGACAGCACCUCCGGUUAGGGACAGUAUCUGACCGUCCGACAUCCCUGCAGCCCCCAUGCUGUCACACAGACUCAGCCUCAGGUAGAUGGUUUCCGUAGAUGGUGGCUUUCUUUGGACCCUUGAUAUCAACCAGUUACUAUUUGGGGACCAGAUGUGCAGAGGUAAUGAAUACCAGGGAAUCAGGAAACCACUGGAUCAGUUCUUUGAGCCAUAGAACAACACUCAUCCCAGCAGCUGGGAAGCUAUCUGCAAAAGUCCAUCUGCAGAAAGGGCUUCCUGGUCUUGCGUGUGGCUGGGCCAUUUCUCUGGAUGCAGGUUUUUCAUUAUACAGUCUUCUCAAAG